GAGAAGCGAAGCAUGGUGCUUCGUCGCCGCUACGCCCUUUCCCAUUGGUCGACGCCGCGGCGCUUCCGCGCCGCCCGCCGCGAUUGGCUCGUUCGCGCCGCUGCUUUCCUCGUCCCGGCGACCGCGGCAGUCUCAGGGGUGGGGGGUUGCGAAGGCUUUCCUCGCUGCCUCAGUGUUUCUUUUCAUUUUGUUUUCUUGAGUGUCGUGUCGGUCCUUACCGCCUUCGGCCCUGGAUUUUACGCCGUGCCCUCGACGUCGCCAUCAACGUAAGUUCGAUACGACUUCUCUGCUUUCGGAAGGGAGUCGACUACGUUGCCGCGCCGCGCGCUCUCGUAGUCGGUCGCCUUCCUACGGCGCGCGCGUAGAAAACGGGCGCAGCCAGCGGCAGCACUGCAUGCGAGCGAAGCCAGGAAAAAAAAAAAAAAGGAAUACAAGUAGCGCCAUCUGUCGACGCAGCUGUCAAGCAAGCUGUGUCGCCAGUCGCUGCUAGAAGUGCGAGGGGUUGCUAAGCCUAACGCCACGCUUAUUUCUCCUCAUUUCUCCUCCUCGCGUUAUCUUCCCUCGCCGCUUGCCCGCGCUACGCCCGUUCUAGCGGCGUUUUUCUGUGGCUGCUGCGGACAUCGGCAGCAGCAGCGGCUUGCAAGUAGCCCCGGAAAACGACUGGCAACAAACGAAAAAGCAAAACAAGUGCGGCGUCUUUCCAAACAAGACUUCUCCGUGGUUUGUGGUGGUCGCGGAAUAUCGCCGUUUCCAAGCCGAAGGGAUGCUCGUUCCUUUCUUCGACGGUGUUCACAAGUGGUGGUUGUGCUGGUGGUGUUAAGUAGUGGUGGUGGUUGUGUUGCUGCUUGGUGUGUAGUGCAGCGAGGGAGGAGGCCAGCGCCAGCUAUUCACGCUGGCCGGCCUUGCACUGUGAAUGCCGCUGCACCGUCGGCCAACGAACGGCAGUGUCGUGGAUGAGUCGCAAUCCACUGCGUGUUGUUCCCUGCGCCGCUGGCUCGCUGGACCCUGGGUCGUUCCGUUUCUAUGUGCACUGCCAUAGCAGCCCCUUUCCUUGCGGUCCUCGGUGAGCUGGCUUCCCCAACGCGUUGCGUCUCCUGAACGUCGUCUCAAGGGCAGCUCAUCGGUUCUUCGUUUCUACUUUGCGCUCGCGUGUGUCUCUCUUUGUUCGUGGUGGUGGUUGGGAGUAGCGUGUGGCGCUGGCCCUGGCGUCGUCGGCAUCCCGAUCACGGCGGUGAUGGCCGCCCCGGCGCGCGCGCCGGAGAAGAACCAGCGUUGGCGGGUCUGCAGCGCGGCUGUGUCGACCACGAGCUCCGCCGAGCGUCAUCAGGCGCGAUGAGCGAACGCCAGCAGCACGGCCGCCAGCAGCAGCCGCACCGCCGGUCCUCUUCGUCCCAGGCCUCGGAGGCGCCGGACGCCGGCCGCAAGCUGAAGCGGCCCAAGAAGGAACCCGCGGCGGCGUCGCCCGCGAGGGCUCCGACGUCGUCGACCUCCACGCGGUCUGCCCCCUCGUCCCGACGUCCCAGCGAACCGGUCAAGGCGGCCGCGGUCGCCACGUCCGCGCGUAGGAACUCCAAGUCCAAGGCACAGCCACCUCCCAAGCCCCAGCCAAAGCGGAAGCCCGAGCCGCCGCCGGCUAGGCACAACGGAGAGCGCGUCGGCCGCAAGCGCAGAGCGGGUGUUGGCCGUUCGCAAGGCAUCCUGGGCCUGUGCGACUCAUUCUCGUCGCAGUGCGACCUGCGGGGCAGUCGCUCUGCUUCCGCAGUUGUGCCGCCGGGGGCCGGUGGUGGUGCCCGGACGGUUGAGCCGGUCCCGAGCCCCGGCCCCAACCUGCGGCCCAAGUUUCCCGCCUUCCUGGCGUCCAUGGCGGCGGUCGAGGAUUGGCCCACGGCCCGCGUCCAGCGUGUCGCCAGCCUCAAUGCUAUGGCCAAGGUGCACAUCUUGUACGAGAACGAGAGCCGCCCGGCCAUCGUCGAAGCAGACGACGCGCAGGAGGACUGCAAGGCCCUGGUGCCGCUGAGGACGGACCACCUGCCAUCGCCGUCCCCGCCGCCGCCGCAGUCUUCUCCGCCCCCGUCUCCUCCCGCGCCAACCACGGGCACCAGGCGGAAGAAGAAGGCCAUCGUCGCCCGAAAGGUGAUCAAGAGGAAGCGCGACGUCCUCGAUGCCGACGUGGAGAUCAUCGACACGCGGCAGUGCCGGCGCAUGGCCAGCCUCAAUGCGCAGGCCAUCAUGGCGGCCAGCUACAGUCGGGAGCGGAGCAGCCGCAAGUUCGACAAGGAAUCUCCAUCGUCAUUCUCUUCCUCGUCCUCUUCCUCAUCGUCAACUUCAUCGGCAGCUUCGUGCGAGCUUAAGGUCGUACACCACCACCAUCAGCAGGAGAUUGUUGUCUGCUCAGUGCAGACGAAGACCGUCCACAAGACGGUGCAGGAGAAGGCUGAAGUGCCGGUGUUGCCCAGCGCCCCCAAGGGGCCGCACGGCGACGCGGUGGUCAGGCGCCCGCGCAAGAGCGACGCCAAGGCCGGGUCGUCAACGGCAGGCGACGCGACGGCGUCCUCGUCGGUGGCUGUGAGCGAGUACCGCGAAGUGGUGCGCAUCAACACCACCAAGGAGAUGGCGGUGAAGGACGAGCGGCGCGAGAAGGAGGGUGUCACGCACCUCUACCACUACCACACCAAGGCCACCUGCAUGCAGAUGCAGACGACGUACAGCGGACCACCGAGCCCCGUGCCGUCACACCCCGCAGUGCUGGGCCCUCAGGCACCGGGGUAUGACCGGGGUUUGCACUCGGAGUGUGCAUGGUAUUACGGUCCGCCGUCGUACCCUCCCGCCCUGACAGGUCCGCCACCUCCUCCGCUGGCAGCGGCGGCGGCGCUCAUGCCCCCGCCCACGGCCAGUGCUAGCUCGGCACCAGGUCCUCCUGCCUACGGGGUGAACCACGUCAUGCCCAUGAGCGGGGCGCCCGUGCACCGGCACUACGGUAGCGCCUUCACAGUUCCCCACUAUGGCCAUGCGGUUCCGUACCCACAGGCAGAGUACAUGCCCGGCUACUACCAACCUGCGGGGCCAACGAUCCAACCGCCGCCGCACGACCAGUGCCUCAUUCACAAGCCCGUGCCGUACCACCCGCAGCACCGGCCCGCUCCGGUUCCCCUGCCACCACCACCCCCCGGCGGGUUUGCCUCUCCCCACUGUGCCUCGCCUCUGUGUCCACCGCCCCCUCCCCCGCACUGUUACUCAGAACACAUGCCUUGCAGCCCCCCGCCAGCGCCCCAAGGCAGCACAGCCCCUGGACCCGCCCCUCCCCAGGCCUACCCACCCUAUCGGCCUGGCCCCUACCACACCCAGCCUCCUUUCCAGGCACCGCCCUCCGCCUCCAGCUCGUCCAGCGCUUCGCCCCAAGUGUCGUCCUCCUCCGUGGCACCGCCCCCGGCCCCGCAGCCCCCGUCGACCACCGACUCGUACCAGAUGUCGACGACGGCGUCCGCGGCAGCCGUGCCCAAGUCGGAGCCCGUCACACCACCAGAGACAAAGUCGCCAUCGCAGGGCAACGACUUUUCAGACGCUUCCAAAGCGGCGGGUAAAGAUGGUGGGGCCAACGGCGAGUCGCGAACGACCCCGUUCCAGCCAGAAGCGCAGCUGUCUGUGGCCGAGCCGCUAGUCCUAACAAAGAACGCGCCCAAGCCGUUGUCGGGGAAGGCUGCGGCGACAACGCUGCAGCCGGAGACGAACAUUGCGGCAGUGGAAGCAGUGGUGCCCGUGAAAAAGAGACCGAGGAGCGUGGAGAAGCAGAUCAAAACCGGCACGGUGACGGCGCAGCAGAGGUUGGGCCGAGCCUCUUCGGCAGAAGAGCGAUCGGCAGACAAGAAGAGCACUUCGGCAAAGGCCGUGAAACGGAGCUUCGUGAAGAGCAGCGAUACGGACAAGGUGUGCCUGCCGGCGGCCAAGAACGGCAUCAAGAAAUCCCUGCCAAACCACGUUGCAGCCCUGCGUGUCGCCGAGAAAAAGAGGCAGAGGCUAUCCGUCGGACCAGAAGCGGACGCCCCUCCAACCGAGAAGGAGCCGUCCGAAACGUCAGACAAAGUUCCCUCUUCCGCGUCCGUUGCACCAGUGCACGCGGCGAGCAAGAAAAGUGCCGUCGCAACGAACGCUGCCACCAACGACAGUGAGGGUGUUGUGAGCGAACGUGCCGCGAGUCCGUUGCCGCCGCCGCAGGCCAAGGCACGGAAAGAGAACGGCUCGACCGCCGCGCACUCCUCGGUGGCGGUGACGAAGAAAGUGCAGCUGUCUUCCGCGACUGGUGCGGUGGUGCCCAAAAACUCUUCCCUGCUGCAGGCCAGCAAGACGGCAGUCGUAGUGCUUCCCCCAAGGCUGCUGUUGAGUAGCAACAACAAGCGACCACCACGGAGGAAGUUUGCCCACGGGUGGUCUUGGGACGGCGAGCCCUUCCAGAAGGUCAUCGUCAUGAACAACGAGGACACUCCACGCUUCCGGCUGUGCUUCCCGGCGAUGCGGCACGUCGAGGGCGACGUGAUUCGGGUGCGGGACUGCGUGCUUCUUCGGUCGGGGCCGCGCAAGAUCGACCUGCCGUUUGUGGCCAAGGUGGCGGCGCUGUGGGAGAAUGCGGACGACGGCGAGAUGAUGAUGAGCCUUCUGUGGUACUAUCGGCCCGAGCACACGGACCAGGGCCGGAAGUCGCACCACAUGGAGGACGAGAUAUUUGCCUCCAAGCACCGCGAUGCCAACAGUGUCGCCUGUAUCGAGGACAAGUGCUACGUGCUGACCUUUGCCGAGUACUGCAGGUAUCGAGCGAAAGCAAAGAUGCUCGAAGAAGGCGUCCGGCAACCGGCACCAGUCGUGCCAGACCAGGAAGGUGGCUACCCCCGGCAAGACAGGCUGCCUCCCGGUCGAAUGGACCCGCAGAUGGUGUUCUUCUGCAGGCGGGUGUACGACUUCCGUCAGAAGCGCAUCCUCAAGAACCCUUCCUGAAACCGUCGUGCCCAGAGGUCCGCCCCACCCCUCCCCCCCACUUUCUUCUCCGAGGACAGCUUUAGACAACAGAUGACUCAUCAUUCCGGCACAGCGGUGUGACCCACAGCACAUCCCGCGUUCCGUCUGCUCUAUUUUUUACUCUUGUUUUCCGUUAUUCUUCGUUUGUUUACUCGUGGGUGCCGUUCUCAAAGGGCUCCGAUUGUUCGUCCGGGUUCGGGCAAUAGACGCGAAUGUCGUUGUGCAGUUUCGUGUUUUCAUUGUCGACGAAAAGCGUUGCACACUCCCGCUUGGCACGUGUUCUCGAUGGCAUCUCAAAGGGGUGGAACCGAGCUAUCCGUGCCAUCAGGAAAGACAGCUUGCCAAAGAGCUUGCAACGUGGUGCGGCUCGCAACGAUAGGUUUUGGAGUGCAGCUUUCGUCGCUGUCGAUGCGGACAUAUUUUGGUGUUGCGGUAGCAUUCUUAUGCAGUGCAAUGAGUGGUGAAGCCAGGUGCUUGCGGAUUGGUAUGUGCGAUAAUCUCGUGCAGCUGGAAAUUAGCAAGACGCUGCCAGGGCAUUGCCGGCAGCCACUGUAUUGAAACUGUGCCCACGGUUAGGUGACCAAGUUGAGGGACGUAAUUCGCCACAGAUGUUCAAAACGAAAUGCUGCCCUUUACAGAUACGCCGUUCCUAUGCAGUACGUAGAGCUCUUUCGCCUGUACUUUGUCACUUGGGUUUGUACAUUGCAUCUUUUCUGUGGAAGAAGCGAGCUUUCACCGAGCUUAAUGCAGCACAUUUCGCAGGAAGCCAAAGCUUUGAGGAUUUGAAGGGCAAAUGUCGGAAAACUCAAAACAACCAAAUACCUGAUCAAAAGAUCCGGGUGCAGCCUAAUUCCUUGCAGUAUUGGAGGUUUUGUGGCUGCUACAGUAGAUAGCAGUGAUGGUAAUUCUGCAAAACUGCAGAUGAUGGUAAUUCUGCACAUUUGGUGUUACGAUAAUUGCUACAAAGUUAUGGCCCCUUUCUUUUGGCACAAUCAUCUGCGAAACACUGCUGGAAGUGGAGCCGGUACACGUAAAAAUAUUGGAAGUAAAACGUAGCCGUUACCACGCGCUCUUGUUGUAAUAGAUUUUCAGUGGGGGUGUGCAAAUCCUCGGAAUUUUAAAUACAAAUUGAUUGGCACAUUUGUUCGCUCGGGGCACAUGAAGGAAUAACUACACUUACUGGAGCUUUGAGGGGAACUGAGUGAUGGCCAUGAGGAUUGCUGCUGAGGCUGUGGCGGUGGGGGCACAGGACGCAUUAUUUCUGUUCAUGCAAUGAGAAUGGUUUGCUUUUAGGCAUUCUAGCCUGUGUACAAAUUGGUACAACUUAUUCAUUAAUCAGUCUCACCGUGUUUGCGGCCAAACAAAUGCACAGCAGUAUUGUGCUGUAGUAUCACCCUGGUCUUCUUCGACAAACAUAGCACGGCGCAUAACAUGUCUCCGUUCUGUUUCGUGGCUGUCUGCACACCCCUAAGUUUUCUCGUACAAUUAGAAGGCACAAUCAGUUUAGAGUGAUGCUUGUGCACUUGAGCUGUGCCUGUGGUAAAUUUGUUUACACUUUAAUGUGUCCUUGCGUCAACUCGAUUAGUUGCCCGAGUUAAUUGCGAAUUCGUCUUUCGUUAAACAGCCGCAUCUGUAUAUGGCUGGCUGCCAACCCUCAACGACUUCAUUGCGCCCUCAUCGCAAAACUGCUUGCUUGUUUCUUGUGGAAGAGUAAAUUUUUUAUUUUACACAUCGCAGUAUUUCUUCUCGAUCUGCAAAUGUACAAGAAAGGUUGCAAGCUCAUUUAAUCCAAGGCAAGAUCAGAGCACGGAAAUCGUCUUGUAUGGAAAACGCACAGCAAGUGUCUUCUAACGACAAAAACAAAGAACGCCGUAACACUUCAGCUGCCCACAUGGCAGCCUCCACACCUGAAUUCUGUCUUCACAGCAUAUCCCCAUCUUCCUCGCUCCUAGUUUCCGAAAGAGAAUGCUGACGACUGAGAUACGGAGCUGAAACACCUACGACCGUUGGGAACACACCCUGUAAAAAAAAUCGGGAAUGCGGACCAAUCGUGAUCAAACUUGAACAAGCACAGCAUCUAUCGUCAUCCUUCAGGAGAAAUGUACCACAGUCAUCAUUCCCACUGUCAACUGCUGUGUUGCUAAGGCUGCCCUUUUAGAGACAUUCUUUUUUCUCUCGAUCGGCACAAAGUAACCGCGAUGCCGUGCUGCGGCAUUGUGUGUGUCUCAGACAUUGCUGUGGUUGUCGUGCAGUGGCCACAUACGUCGUACGGAGUGUGCGCCUCUGCUUGAACUAUGUUCCACUCACAGUGAUACCCAGCUUGCUAAAAAAAAAAACACGAGCAACAUUGAAUCAAUGUGCGCUCACACCAUUGGGAGCCAUUCAAAGAGGCACAGGCAUUAUUAGCAGUUCAGUGGCGCCCUCAUGCUUCUCUGCCUGAAGUUCUGGUAUGUGCGGGUAUGGACGGGGUGUGCUUGUGCCGGAACUCGUGUCAAUAAUUUCUUGUGAAAAGUUUAUUUUUCCGCCACCGUGAAUCUGCUGUCUGCGCGCUCUUUGCGAUUCCGAAACCUAGGUGCAUCCUCGGUUUUUUUUUAAGCUUAGUUGUGCACUGCAGUUCAACACGGCGCCACUUGGCAUCGGCUGCUACAAAUGCAAUGGAAUUACUGCAGCGGCACAAAUGAACACUUCUAGCGAAUUCCGCGAGCUUUUGCCGCUAGGAUUUCCUCGUCCGCCUGCUUUAUUUAAAUCUCGCCGUAUGCCUUAUUUUUUGCUCUACAUUGUACAAAGAAGCACCCAGCUAAUUUUUUUAUACGUUAUCACUUUUCUGUCGUGUUUGCCCGGGAUUGGUGGUCGUACGCACUGUGCCACUAAUCCGGACCUUCUUUUUCCUCCCUGCAUUUAUGCAACUGAGACAAUGCCUACCUAUAUAUAUAAGUACAUAUAUAAAUAUAAAUAUAUAUAUAUAUAAUAAAGUAUAUGGAGAUGCACACAUUGCGUUAGUCAGUCAUCAAGCUGUUAGUGUGGGCAACUUCAGAUUCUUCUUUCACGCCCCCCCUCCUCCAUUUUAUUUACCUUUUUUUUUUUACUGCACAAGGACUUUAAUAUAUACACUUGUUUUCUGCACAUUUCUGCUGCCUGUAGAAUUUUUGCCCUUGUUUCAUUAUGUGCUGCGUGUGUCUUUACAUUGACAUGUAUAUGUAUACUUCAUUAGCUCUGUGCUUUUCAGAAUGGAAUGUGUCCGUAAAGGUUCAGACCCACUUAUUUAUUCUUAAGUGAUUCACUUGCCCACAUUUUAAAAAAAACACCCAUUUUUUUGUAUAAAUAUUCAGGUGAACCUCACGAGGAAGUCUCAUAUAGCACGAAAUUAACACUUCAUUGUGUUUAAAAUGUGCGCAGUUGGUAAGAGACUGAUUUAAAUCGAAUUUGUUACGUUCAGUAAUUUGCUAUAUCCUUGCAUGCUAUAUCUAAGUUGAACUGUUAUCGGAAAGCUUAAAGAGAACGCUGCAAGGUGGACAUAACAGGGGUAACUAGCCCAUCUUGGAUCCAUAAGCCAGUUCCUUAUCUGCGGCUUCGUCGGAGCAGGUGCGAGAUUCUUUUGCGGCCAACUUGAUGCGAGACACUUUACACGAGUGUUUCAUCGUUUUUCUUGUUUAUGUCUACACAGGGGUCAGUUGUAGCAGUCUUCUGAGCUGUGUCUGAUACGAGGGUCCACUCUGUAUUUAGGCCUGUGUGUAAAUGUGACACGGAAAUAAAAAAAUCACUUCCCCGCGUUUUAACACCUACGACCUGCUUAAAUUAGGGAGCUUCCGGCACACUGCACUGCCGAGACCAGCGUUUUGGGUUGACGAAACGACGCUUUCACGGCAGCUGUUAAGCGACUCCUGCGCAAGUUGGGUACUAGGUAGACCUUGCCAGUUAAUUGCCAACAAAGCGCGUUGCUCGUCAAGCCCGACAGCCCUCAUUUCGGAGAGGGAUUAUUUCGAGCUGCGUGUUGACGACUGCGGCGGGUUUGCGAGUCUGGGUUACUCGGUCGUGUGGGACCCGCUCGAUAAAAACUGUUCAGAUGUCUCUAAGCUUGCUAGUGGGUAGUCUUUUUAUUCUUGGUUAGCGCUUGUGUGGUGUGUCUGGUGCAACAGCUUGUGGUAUAUCUGCUGCAGUGUCGCUUGCUCGCUGUGUGUUAGCCUUGUGGUGACUUUUCGUUGUUUUCUAUCGCGUUCUAAAGACAGCGGGCCCAGCACAAAUCCUUGUGCCUGUGUAGUGGGGCAAGUGUGGGCCCCACCUCUGCAUGCUGUGCUGCUGUAAGGGUCAGUGCAAACAAGAAUUAUUGCUAUAGGUCGUUGUCCUUCAGAAUGAUGCAGUGUUGUCUUUCGGACCUGAUGCAGAAUUUUUUGUGUGUUAUAACUUUGCUUGGACUCGCGAAUGCCUUUCGCUUGCAAAUUUUUGUUCAGCAGUUUCAGCUGCCGCUUCGCGCUCAAUAUUAAAUGAGGAAAUUGACUGGGCUAACCUCAGAAGUAAGGUUUAGUGGUUAUUGUCACAGGCUUUAAAGCGUUAGGCCUAGCAAGGACUAGUUAGUCCUAGCUAGGACUAACACAGUGUUGCAGGCUCUCAUACGCCUUGAUCCUUUUGUAUCAGCUGGGACAGACGUGCCAAGAAGUGAUGGUACUGGUCGCUACGUUUUUACGCUGCCAUUGUUCAUACGGUGCAGUGCAAAUCCCUGGGUGACGCGCUGGCAACGUGGCUGUCACAUCCCCGCUAUUCAUAAAUGUAGUGAAACCACUAGUUUCCAGGAUUAACCCGCAAAUUUAUAAUUCGGCGUUGAUUAAACUUGGGGGUGACGGAUACACCGUCGACAUCACCAUAGCUUGUGAGCUGGCUCUGAUGAGUUUGUCACUUCAUUCUUUCAGAUUUCACUCAGGUACUCUUUUGUUUGUUGCAUUUUGAGCUUCGUGAAAUGGUCAGGUGGUUUUUUAAAUCAAAAUUUCGGACGUUUCAGUAGUAUCUGCUUGACAGCUACAUGGCAGAGUAACCUUCCAACUUUGAAACGUCUCUUCCUUGAUUUUCUGCCCUCUCGCAAGUACCAUCGAUUAGCUUUUAGUAGCUGCUUGCUUUGUCUGAAAGGUGUAUCGCAUUUGUGGGCAAAGCCAUGUCCUUUGAUGUGUUCCAAGUUAAACCGGAAUUUUGAAUGGGACUGCACCGUUCGAUAUGAUGCAGAAUGACACGGCUGGGCACAUGCAGAAUCCGCUUUUUGCGUUUCAAGCUGUAAAGUCCACUCUCUCAAUCGAUCAGCUAGACUACCCCCUUGCACAUUGUAUGUCGUGUGUGAAGUCACCGAAGAAUGCCCAUCUGUGAUAGGUAGUAGUUUAUACAUUGGUGACGCGAGCGAACGCCGUACUUGGUGGCGUCGGCCGGCAUUUUUUUUUUUCUUUCUUUUCGCGGCGGCGCCGGGAUGGUGGGAGUGUUUAGACCGCGGCGCCAUAUUUGUGCCGCCGCUCGGCGUCCUUCCGAUGCAGACGACAACCGCGCGGACUUCUGCGCAUUGUCGUCUGCUCAACACAGUGCCGAUCGUCUGUCUGCGCGGCACAGACGCGUCGUAGCAGACGACGCCAAUAUUUUCUCUUUAUUUUGGCGGUUUUCUGACGCGGCCGCUUUGCGAGAGGAAUCGAGAAGAAGCGCUCUCUCCCUUGGGAGCACUGCCUAUAUAAUAUAUCUAUGUGCGACACAUUUUGAGUAUAUCUAUAUAUACUAUGUGUGUAUCGAUAAGUGUGCCUCUGCGAGUGGCUUAGAAAGCAGUUCUGGUGGUCUGUUAUACCUUGCGGUGUACUUUUCCCUCUCCAGUUACUACUAACCUCCUUGCCGAGUCGGCAGCCUAAGUGUGUUUUUCGCCAACCCUUUCUUUCGCCACCCCAUCUUCAUUUUAUCACUGCGUUAAUUGUUUUUGCCAGAUCAGUUUGUUCGUGGAUUUAUCUGUGUUGUUGAACGAUGCCUGUUCCUCUUUUUCCCCUUCACAGAAAAAUCGAAAGUGCAUUUGAUAAUGAGAGUAAUAAAAAGAAUGAAAAGAAAA
rnacentral:misc_RNA from 1 species